rnacentral:rRNA from 1 species
GACGAACGCUGGCGGCGUGCUUAACACAUGCAAGUCGAACGGAAAGGCCCUGCUUUUGUGGGGUGCUCGAGUGGCGAACGGGUGAGUAACACGUGAGUAACCUGCCCUUGACUUUGGGAUAACUUCAGGAAACUGGGGCUAAUACCGGAUAGGAGCUCCUGCUGCAUGGUGGGGGUUGGAAAGUUUCGGCGGUUGGGGAUGGACUCGCGGCUUAUCAGCUUGUUGGUGGGGUAGUGGCUUACCAAGGCUUUGACGGGUAGCCGGCCUGAGAGGGUGACCGGCCACAUUGGGACUGAGAGACGGCCCAGACGCCUACGUGAGGCAGCAGUGGGGAAUAUUGCACAAUGGGCGGAAGCCUGAUGCAGCAACGCCGCGUGCGGGAUGACGGCCUUCGGGUUGUAAACCGCUUUCGCCUGUGACGAAGCGUGAGUGACGGUAAUGGGUAAAGAAGCACCGGCUAACUACGUG